UACAUUUAAGUAUAAGAAGUACGGAAAUUUUUGAUAUUUCUAGAGGAAGUUUAAUUCUUCCAAAUGUAA
rnacentral:tRNA from 1 species